CGGUGUUGAUAGUGUGUGAUAUGGAUGAGGUUUUCUCAGUGAAAUCCACCUAGUAUAUCUAGUAUCCUCAAAGCUUCUUGGUCAGUAAAGCUUUUUCAACCGUGCGAUCUUUGUUUAUGCUCCUUCCAGCGUAUGUGAUUUUUCUUCACAAUUGUGGGACAAACUCCCUGCAAAGGCCAAUUUGUUUUGGAGGAGAGUGAUUUUCGAGGUACCAAAUGCUGUUUGUGCCUUGUGUGAAGAACAAAUUGAAAUAAGUUGUCAUAUAUGUUUGAAAGGUGUAUUUCUCCUUUUAUAUAUUAUAUGGUAUUUCUAUCUAUCACUAGCUAUGACUUGUGUUAUUGAUACCCCUAAUCUCUCCCAUCCAUUCUCUAUAUAGUUCAUCAGGCAAGAUUCAAAAGGGAUUGUCAUUUAUAUGACAUUAAGUUUUGUUGUGAUAUGGGAUGUGAGGA
rnacentral:lncRNA from 1 species